UACGGGGGGGGCAAGCGUUGUUCGGAAUUACUGGGCGUAAAGGGCUCGUAGGCGGCCAACUAAGUCAGACGUGAAAUCCCUCGGCUUAACCGGGGAACUGCGUCUGAUACUGGAUGGCUAGAGGUUGGGAGAGGGAUGCGGAAUUCCAGGUGUAGCGGUGAAAUGCGUAGAUAUCUGGAGGAAUACCGGUGGCGAAGGCGGCAUCCUGGACCGACAUUGACGCUGAGGAGCGAAAAGCUAGGGGGAGCAAACGGGG
rnacentral:rRNA from 1 species